CUGACACAGACUCUACUUAGUGGCUAGGGGGGGGGGAGAGGACCAAGGCGAGGAGCUUCUCCAAUGUGGAGGACGCCGACAGAGCAGCCUGACAAGGAGUGUGACGGUGGAAGACGUCAAAAAAGCCCCCCUGUCGCCACGGCAUAGGAGUUUCUACGGACGGAGACAAAAAGGCAAGGACUGAGGAGAGAGGAACAGAGAUCUCCACAUCCAAGCAUCUCUUAGUCCCCUAACCAGUGGCUGACACAGACGUGAGGGUUUGUGUUGUCAAGGAAUUCAAAGGAAGUGAGGAGCGCGGGUCCAGAGGAGGGACUAUUUUUUUUCUUUCUUCCAGAUCCUAUUCUAAUCUGGAAUUUCAGGCAGGAAUCCCAGGUUUUUUUGGUUGUUUUUUUUUACAGCAUGGAUGAAUUUAAAGAGGAGGAGUAAGUCAUCCAAACCCUGCCUCGGUCCUCCUGAAGUCAUUGCUAAGACUCGCACACCGUCGUGAGCUGCAGACCCCCGGCCUUAGAAUGUCCUGGUUGUUGGCCAUGUGGGUCAGCCUCAGCUUCCUGCUGCUGCUGUGCCAGGCCUCACUCUACCAGACCAUCCAGCAGCACCACGUGGCCCGUCCCGGUCGCACCGACAUCCUCACCCUGGAGGGAGGUACGUGUGAGGUGAUCGCGGCCCACAGAUGCUGUAACAAGAAUCGCAUCGAGGAACGCUCUCAGACCGUCAAGUGCUCCUGUUUACCAGGCAAAGUGGCUGGAACAACACGCAACAAACCUUCUUGUGUGGACGCAUCCAUCGUAAUUGGGAAAUGGUGGUGUGAGAUGGAGCCGUGUCUGGAAGGAGAAGAGUGCAAGACUCUGCCUGACAAUUCCGGAUGGAUGUGCUCAUCUGGAAAUAAAGUCAAGACCACGAGGAACACCCAGCCAUACUCCCCUUUUUAGCUUCCGGAAGCAAAAUGCAGAGGAAACGUCAACCGAAAUUGAGCUGCAUUCUUGCUUCUGUAAAAGAUUAAUCCGAGGACCUAACAGCGAGCUCUCAUCACAGGACCAGCCCCGUGCCAGCCCCUUCCUCUCAUCUACCCUUUCUCUUCUCGACAAACGGCGUGAAACUAUCACAUCCACGGCUGCCGACUGGAUUACCUGGGACCACAGAAAGGAUAUCCACCCCGAUAAAACAGCUUUGCCUGUGUGGCGCCAAGGAUUUAAAAACCCGCCACUAAUCCCCUGUUUGAUCAAGGAUGUGGGAUGUCGGUGAAGCUCCUCUUCCACGCAGCCGUGGCCAGAUUCCGUCCGAAAUCCCUCGCGCUCUGCCCCUCACUCGGUGUGUUCCUCAAAAACUGAUGCAGCUCGCCAGGGGGCUCAUUUUGAGGUUCUUUGGACAUUUGUCAAAAAAAGGAGGACCUGAACUUGGAACAAAGAGCAUAAAAGGCGAGACAUUGCCCUGAUAUCCUUGUAUUCCUGUACGGAUCGCUGCCUUUGUGUUAGAAGAUUACAAGAUGGCUUUGCAAGGACUACGUAGGUGUGAGAACAAAAUAAGCACCCUUGUGUGUGUGAGGCUUGAAGGACUGCUAUUACGGCCUCACCUUCGUGGUCAAUAAUGAACAUUGGAUUUGACUUCGAAGACAUGUACAAUGAGCAGUGCUACUUUUCUGUCUAUGUAAGAACACCCGCGUGUAUAUAAUUCUAUAAAUAAAAGACAAAAUAUUACGGCAGAUCCGCAAAGCAUAUUUAAGACUCUACUUACUAGGAGCUUAAAUCCACGGUGGAAUAUUGUUUUUGUUUUUUUCGCCCCCGUCCGAGUAAAAGUGCGAUUCGUACUUGUGCAGAGCCCUACUUUGACGUGUUAAAAGGACUGCUUUACUUGACAACUGUAAUCAUAGGUAUCUGUCACUUUGGUCGUUCAUGAAGUAUUGCUGGUAGAGCCACACGGUGCUUGUAAAAAGAUGAGGAAAAACAUUGUAUAGGACUGCCUCACAAAGCCUGCAAUGCUACUCAGAUGGCCCACCGUUGCUUAACAACCGCAAGAAAACCGGGCGUACGCACACCGAGGCCGUUCGUUGCUUUUCUACACUGCCGUAUAACCGCAAUUUCCCUGACUUUGUGGAUCACGCCGGUUUUAAUUUUUGUCGUUCUGAUUUGUUGCAGUUUGGAAUUCAUUUGCGAGAGGAGCGACUGUGUGAAAUAAAUGACCUGCCUUUGUUAGACGAACAGGUGUGUUAACUUGCAUUAUUUUGAGUAUGGGCCUGAUCUACAGCCGCUAAACAGCGUGUCCAAACAAUGAAAUUAGUGGUGAUCUACUAAGACUGUGUGUGCAAUUGAUAACAAG